AAGUCGUAACAAGGUUUCCGUAGGUGAACCUGCGGAAGGAUCAUUAACACGUAUCCAACGUUAAACAACCCUGUGAACUUUCAACCCCGCCGGAACGAGAUUAAUUUCCAACUCCGGAGAAGACAAGUGACCUGGCACCUGACCUCAUCAAAGCUCUGACAGCGUGCCUCUGGAUGCUUAAUGGAAGGGUGACGCAGUAACGAUCGCUGGAGGCCCACACGCAUUCUUUAAUGCCCCUUAAAACCACUUAACAUGACGACAGUUCCUCUUUAACUUGAGUUGAGCUAAAACAAAACUAAUACUAUUGUUAACAAUGGAUAUCUUGGUUCUC
rnacentral:misc_RNA from 1 species